CCCGGGACUCCAGGAUCACAACCUGAGCCAAAGUCAGAUGCUCAACCCCUGAGCCACCCAGGUGCCAGCUACAGGAAAGCUAUUUUGAGUCUCAGAUUAUAUGGAUUAUACACCCAUCUACCAGAAGACUUUAGAAAUAACCCACCCGGGAGACCUUUCACAUCCCUCUGGUAAAUUGCCUGGCUGAUCUUGCAAAAGAAGGGUGAGCAGCUGAUGGUGGAGGCUGAUGAUCCAUUCAUACUGAUACUGAUAAAGCUCCUAUUGACUCAACUGACAGGAAAUCAGAGGUGAUAGCAGCCCUGUUGAUGUUGUCCAUAUAAAUCAGUCUGCAGCAGAAGAAAUCAGGGUGGAGAAAGGCCUGGAGUAGAACUGCAUGCGGCAAACGUGAGAUACCCAGAACUGAUCAUCUGCCAGCGUUCAGACAAGAUUUGAGGGUUUGACUCACCCCAAGCUUCAUUAACAGCCUCUAUUGCAAUACAGAGCGUUGUCCCAUUUUCUUUAGCUCAACAAGUACACGUAAACCAUGGUUUCUCCGAAGAGAACGCUUUUUGACAGACCCCCUAUUGGCAGAGGGGAACCCAUAUUUAACCAUAUUUAACCAAACUGGGAGCCUGACUUGAAAUUUACUGUGCACAUGAAAUUUCUUCCAAGCUUCUUUUGGUUUGUUUCAGCUAAAUAUUUGAUGUGGGUUUUGAAUUGUACUAAGUAAAACAUUUGUUUGUUUUUGUAUUGAAACUAAUUACAAAAAGGAAAAAUCAAAA